rnacentral:rRNA from 1 species
GACAGAGGCCUCGAGCGUUAGGCGGAAUCACUGGGCUUAAAGCGUGUGUAGGCGGAUGCCUAAGUACCUUGUGAAAUCCCACGGCUCACCCGUGGAACCGCUGGGUAUACUGGGCAUCUUGGGCCAUUCAGGGGCAACUGGAACAAGCGGUGGAGCGGUGAAAUGCGUAGAUAUCGCUUGGAACGCCGACGGUGAAAACAGGUUGCUGGGGAAUGUGCCGACGCUGAGACACGAAAGCCAGGGGAGCAAACGGG